GAGCAUGUAGCUCAGUGGAUAGACCGUCUGUUUCCUAAGCGAAAGGCCGUAGGUUCGACCCCUACCUGGCGCG
rnacentral:tRNA from 1 species